rnacentral:rRNA from 1 species
AACGGCCAUACCAUGUCGAAUAUGCCGGUUCUCGUUAGAUCACCGAAGUCAAGCAUCAUUGGGCGCGGUCAGUACUUGGGUGGGUGACCACCAGGGAACACCGCGUGCCGUU